rnacentral:lncRNA from 1 species
UAGAAACUGGCUUCUACUCAAAGCAGACAAACUGUCUCUCUCAUCUCUGAAAACUAAAAAUCUAAAAAGAAAAAAUUAGGCUGAAUACUAGAAGGUCAGAGAGUGGCCUUUUUGUCAACUCUUCAUGGUUGUGUUAAGUGCCAUUCCAUUCUGAGCUGGCAGUUCUUAGACAUGUUUCCCUCUAGAACAUAACACUAGAGAUGCUUGGACCAUCUGUCUGUCCGACAGACCAUCUGUACAAGGCACUGGCACCCCUUCCAGAAAAUAGAAGAGAAACUGAGGACACUAAAUAGGGAAUAACUAAGUCCACUUUGGAAAAAAGAAUACUAAGUGCUCACGAAGGGACCUUGUGAAUGAUCAUGUGCAAAGUUACGGAUGCUGAAAAGCCAAAGGUCAAAAGGCUGCAUCUGUUAAGAGCCUUCUUGCUGGUGGAAACUUUGAAGAGUCCCAAGAUGGCACAGGUUUCUCUGAUUUUUGCCUCUCAUAAGCUAGGAAGCACCCCAGUGGAUCAUAAUAGGGGAUUUUCAUGGAUACCACAGCUUCUAUGAUUUCGCUGAGUCCCCACCCAAAUCUCAUCUUGAAUUGUAGUUCCCCAAAUUCCCACAUGUUGUGGGAGGAACCAGGUGGGGAUAAUUGAAUCAUGUGAGCACUUUUCCCCAUCCUGUUCUAGUGAUAGUGAAUUCGUUUUCAUGAGAUCUGAUGGUUUUAUAAGGGGCUUCCUCCUUCACUGGGCAUUCAUUCUUCUCUCUCCUGCCACCAUGUGAAGACAGACAUGUUUGUUUCCCCUUCCACAAUGAUUGUAAGUUUCCUGAAGCCUCUCCAGCCAUGCUGAAUUGUGAGUCAAUUAAACAUCUUUUCUUUGUAAAUUAUCCAGUCUUGGGUAUGUCUUUAUUAGCAUCGUGAGAACAGACUAAUACAGUCACUGAUUUCAUAAGCCAAUAGUUGAUGCUAUGUUAAAGCAACAUUUCUCAAAUGGCCCUAAGAGAAUUAGGUUGGAAAAAAUAGGGUUGUAUGGGACUCUACUGUACAGUACAGGACAGUUAGCCUCACGGGACUUUGGGCAUUACGUGUCAAUAGCACUCACCACUUGUUGUAAAAUGUAAAAUGCCUCCUCCAUUUUCCAAAUGCUUUUGGAGGGAGUUGCUGAGUAGCAACUGUGGCUGAGAAACUCCAAUUAAAAACAAAUAAAUAGAUAAUUUUAAAAAUCUUAUCAUGAGGUGCCAAAUGGUAAAAUAGCUGACCAAGUUGGUAUAAACCACCACAGAGAGGAA